UUUACUGACGCUAAAGCUCGAAGGUGCGGGUAUCGAACAGGAUUAGAUACCCUGGUAGUCCGCACGGUAAACGAUGGAUGCCCGCUGUUUGCGAUAUACUGUGAGCGGCCAAGAGAAAUCGUUAAGCAUCCCACCUGGGGAGUACGCCGGCAACGGUGAAACUCAAAGGAAUUGACGGGGGCCCGCACAAGCGGAGGAACAUGUGGUUUAAUUCGAUGAUACGCGAGGAACCUUACCCGGGCUUGAACUGCAGCGGAAGGAUACAGAGAUGUUGACGUCCUUCGGGACCGCUGUGGAGGUGCUGCAUGGUUGUCGUCAGCUCGUGCCGUGAGGUGUCGGCUUAAGUGCCAUAACGAGCGCAACCCCUUUCAUUAGUUGCCAUCACUUCGGGUGGGCACUCUGGUGAUACUGCCACCGUAAGGUGUGAGGAAGGUGGGGAUGACGUCAAAUCAGCACGGCCCUUACGUCCGGGGCUACACACGUGUUACAAUGGGUGAUACAGAUGGCAGGUUCACGGCAACGUGGAUCAAAUCUUGAAAGUCAUCCUCAGUUCGGAUUGGGGUCUGCAACCCGACCCCAUGAAGCUGGAUUCGCUAGUAA
rnacentral:rRNA from 1 species